rnacentral:lncRNA from 1 species
UUCCAUUUCCAAAAUUUCAACCAAUGGGAGUCUUCUCUACAUUAUGGGAAGCAGAUGAUUGGGCAACAAGGGGUGGGCUUGAAAAAAUUGAUUGGAGCAAAGCACCAUUUUAUGCAUACUACAAAGACUUUGAUAUUGAGGGGUGCCCUUCCCCAGGGCCAAGUUCCUGUGCAUCCAACUCGGCCAACUGGUGGGAGGGCACCAGUUACCAGCAACUCGAUGCUCUUGCCGCCCGUCGAUACAAGUGGGUCCGAAUGAAUCAUAUGGUCUAUGACUACUGUACCGACAAACAUCGGUACCCAGUUACCCCACCUGAAUGUAU